UAAUAAGUGUUUUAUGGCACUUUUUAAAUCCAUAUCCACCUUGUGUGCAAUGUCAGUCGAUCUUCUUCAUGGAGAUCGACCAAACAUCAACCUUUAUUUUUAACUCUUCGUCUGAAAAAUAUUAUGAAUAAACAAUUCAAAAUA
rnacentral:misc_RNA from 1 species